rnacentral:rRNA from 1 species
GCCUGAUCUAGCCAUGCCGCGUGUGUGAUGAAGGCCUUAGGGUCGUAAAGCACUUUCGCCAGAGAUGAUAAUGACAGUAUCUGGUAAAGAAACCCCGGCUAACUCCGUGCCAGCAGCCGCGGUAAUA